rnacentral:tRNA from 1 species
GAGGUUGUGGCUCAGUGGAAGAGAGCUCGCCUAGCACACGUGAGGCACUGGGUUCGAUCCUCAGCACCACA